CAUGCCGCGUGUGUGAAGAAGGCCUUCGGGUUGUAAAGCACUUUCAGCGAGGAGGAAGGGGUUGUAGUUAAUAGCUGCAACUUUUGACGUUACUCGCAGAAGAAGCACCGGCUAACUCCGUGCCAGCCACGGCGGUGACUGAGCGGGCUGGCAAGGCGCAUA
rnacentral:rRNA from 1 species